CUUGCCUCCUGGGCCAUGCAUGGAGUCGUGAUUGCCCUGAGAAAAUGGACCAAUCCUGCUUGUCUGAAGACAAGCAUGUUUGAGUCAGUGGUCUCCCCCAUCAUGUAAAUCCACUUGUCAGAUGAGCCUUGCUGCCUCUGGAGAUUUGGAGUAGGGAAACAGCUUUGUGCAUCACUACCACAGGAAACUGGAAGUCCACCAAACCCAGCAUGCUGUGGGAGGAGCAGAUCUGCAAUAUGAAAAGGACAGCAUCUGUGCUCCCAGUGCUCAGCUAGGAGGUCAUAGAAUGUAAACUGAAGUUAAUAAAUUGGGGAAUUUGGUCUCAUGGACAAUGUUACCUAUAUCAUACGUCACCUGAGCAUCAGGGAAGUGAUGCUCUGCAGCACCCAGAGGAACAGUCUGAAUUCUUCAGAUACAGCACGGACACACUCAGUAAAAUGAAGGAAGAAACUCCAAGUCUUGAAUCAUAGUUCUACUUAAAACGCUGAAUGCUGUAAUUGUGUUGCCUGUUGUUGCUAACGGCGGCUACUAGAGGUGAACAGUGGCAGAAGAUGUGACGAUUCACACCUGAAGUGGGAAACGAGUAAGGGAGAGGAAAAUUCCCACAGCAUACAAACUGUAACACGGCAAUGAAAAUGCAUGUAUGGAGUAAAUCAUGCUAUCCCAAGGUUAAUCAAGAAAAAUGGAAAUUACUGAAGAUGCGUAACAAAACACUUCGGGGGAAAAAAAAAUUGAACUGUUGAAGACGUUCUAAAAGAAGGCAGGAUAGUAUCAAAAAGCUUUUGGUUAUUUACACUUUAUUGCACUGAGUCUAUAAGAGAUGUGUCAUGCUUUGUCUCCUACCUGGGCUAUGUAGAGAGAGCAACCACCAAAAUAAUACACUAGCAAUUUGUCUCCCAUCAAAUGUAUGGUUAUACAGAUCCCAUUCCUCAUUUACAAGUGACAUUUCACACAGAAGUGACUUACUGAAAAGUAACCUCCUGGGAAAAUAGCUUCAUGAUCACUGAUCUCAGUGUGCAUAGGCACA